CACAUCCAUUCUUUUUAUUGAUAAAUGAUCAUUUUUAAAAGACCCAAGCCAUUUCAUAUUCCAACUUAUUCAAAGCUACAGUUUCAACGUGCUGAAUUAACUAUUUACAAAGAUAGCUUGUCUCAUCAUCACUUCCUGAACAACAUUAGUUAAGAGAUUGUGCCCAGUCUUCUCAACAGGAUUGUAGAUUGCUCAUCGACUGCAACACUAGCUAGCUGGGUUUCACUGGCUACAGGAAACAAAUCAGGCAAUAAGCAGGAAGUAGGUUACAUUCUAGUAGCACAGGUGGGAGAGCCGGAGAGUUAAGGAUGGGAUCAGAACAUUUAAACAGUACCUUUCCUUUCUGAAUCGGGAAAAAAACAAUAGAACCCUGGUGUCGGUUAGAAAAAGGAGGACAACAACAACAUGCAAAUGUGAUUUAAUCCCAUAAAGUGGUGUGUUGGCCAGCUUCAACAGAAACAAAACAGCAGGUUAUUGCUCUAAGGACAGUGUAAGCAGUAUGAUGGAGGUAAAUCAUAGUGGAACACUGGGAUAUGAUCUAACAGGUAAAUCAUAGUGAAACACUGGGACAUGAUCUAACAGGUAAAUCAUAGUGAAACACUGGGAUAUGAUCUAACAGGUAAAGCAAUAGUGAAACAUACUUGUGAAACAUACUUGGGCAGCAACAUUGGCACACAUGGAUUUAAGGAGGAAGAUGUUAAAAGGGGAUCAUUUCAGAGUAUUAAAAUCAUGAACAGUACUAUGUAUUAUACAGGCAGGGCGUUACUAGGGUUACAUACAGUAUGGAGAGACAGAGAGAGAGAGAGAGAGAGAGACAGAGAGAGAGAGACAGAGAGAGAGAGAGAGAGAGA